GAGAAAGAGCGAGAGAGAGAGCGAGAGAGAGUGCUGUACACACACACGAGUGUUCGUUCCAGAUCAUCAGAUUCAGAACCGUGAGAAAAACACCAAAGUCCCUGUGUGUUUACUGUCUUCCUGAGUUUAAGACUCGUGAUUUAAAAGAUGAAAUCCCCAAACUGCUCGAGAGAAAGGACACUGGGAGGAGCUGGCGCCGGACUGUAGGGUUCGAGUGCUGCGUUACAGGAUCAUUAGUGCGUCUCGAGUCAUGACAGAUGCAUGUUCCCAGCUUCAUCCGUCAUCACGUGUCACAGAGAGUGGGGCUGAAGAUGUGGGACCGUGAGGGUAAAGAGGUUCCAGGAAACAGAGGAGACCAGUAUUUGGUGCAGCAGGAGUCCGAGAGCUGUUCGAGAAAGAGCGUGUGAUACCUGACCAGACCCGCUGGCUUCUGUUAGCACCAGAACCUGGUGUGAUUAUAUGUUGUAGUCGAGGAGCUGUACCAGCGCCCAGAAGAACACGAAGAAGGAGAUUGAUGCUGACUAUUACGAUUCGGUCACGGCGUUGUCAUGGUGUGUUUGGAGAGCAUCAAAGACCUGAAGUACGAGACCUACCACUUCACUGAGUUCCUCAUCAGAGAACAAGCUGCUCAUUCUCUGUCUCUUUCUCCUUAUGCAAUUUUGAACAACUGAAUAAAUAAAUGUGUGAAUAAAAAUCAUAAAUGUCCAGCACAACUCAACCAAGCACUGAAACCAUGCUAGAAAACAAAACUAUGCAAAAUGUGUCUGUUUAAUUCAAUGAAAUGGACAUGGAAGGACAUGUUUUGUUAGAAACGAAUGAAAUCUGUUGUUUAAUCUUCUCAGUGUAAUUAGGGUCAACCUGAUGACUUGAUAUUUAUGGUGCCAGGAGGACCACCAAAGCAGCGGCAAUCAUGGUGACCGGAGCAGGGACGUCCACCAGCGUCCCUCGGGAGGAGGACCUGGACAGCGGCUGGGAAAGUGAGCUUGCGUCGCCCUCCUGCAAGUCCAUCCUAGUGUGCACAGCACAGGCGUCUACAACCAUCACAUCUCAUUUAGCUUUACAGGAUAGCAUGAUUUAAUUUGAACUGUAAAGUGUUCAUGGUCCCACAGUAUUUUUUCAUAAGCGCUGACUGAACAGAUUUGCGUAUCCUUCUCUCUGGAGUACAGAGGACAUCAUGAGAAACACAUGUUCCUGCUGUGGACUGAUGUGAAUGAAUAAAAUAAGAGCAGAACUGAGGCAGAAGCACAAAAUGGAUUUAAUCUGUCAGCUCUGACAGCUUCUCUUCUGGAUUGUAAGGGCUAUCAGUCUGCCUCAACAUUCAUUCUUAUAGACUGUCAUAGACCAUUAGUACUUCUAUUAUUUUUCACAAAUGGCUUUUCAACAUUGUUAAAAUCAUAAUACAGUACCUUACUGUUUUUACAUUUCAUCAGUACAGGUCCCAUAAAUAUGGUCUAACGUGUGUGUAAUACUUCAUAUUUAAUCAACAUGUUCCAUAUCGUUACCUUCGUCG